CCCUGACCCCUACCCCUCUCUUCACUCGCAUAUCCCAAUAACAAACCACGAGCUUCUUCUUCAACAUUUGCAUCACUCUCUAUCUGACACUCACUUCCUCCCUCUCUAGAAAAAGUUUCAGAAAAUCUAGUGAAGAAACAACAAAGAUCUUUUUUUUCAUUUGGUGGCUUGGAUUGAAGACUAUAAUAUACUGCACUGGACCAAUCAACAUGCCGUG